UACGUAGGGGGCAAGCGUUGUCCGGAAUUAUUGGGCGUAAAGCGCGCGCAGGCGGCCUUGUAAGUCUGUCGUUUAAACUCGGAGCUCAACUUCGAGUCGCGAUGGAAACUGCAAAGCUUGAGUGCAGAAGAGGAAAGUGGAAUUCCACGUGUAGCGGUGAAAUGCGUAGAGAUGUGGAGGAACACCAGUGGCGAAGGCGACUUUCUGGGCUGACACUGACGCUGAAGCGCGAAAGCUAGGGGAGCGAACGGG
rnacentral:rRNA from 1 species